UAACAAAAUCGUAGAAACAAUGUCUAUAAAUAGCGUAAAUAAAUGUAAUAAAAAAAUACAAAUAAUGUUGGGUUGGAAGUCCACAACACUAAAAUAGGAUUUGGUUGGAAAUGGUCUUACAGUAGAAAUCCAAAAAGCUCAGAGAAAAGAGAAUGAGGUUUUGCAGAGAGUGGAAGACAAAACUCCAAAGGGCUGUGCUGCUUCCUCUCUGCAGUGCCUGUGAUUUCAAUUUUUGCUGUGAAAAAAUGAUAAUUUCAACAGCAUUUUUGCAGCUAAAUACCGACCUAACGACACCUUUGCUAGAAUCAUACAGUAAUAAUAAUAAUAAUAAUAAUUGUUGCGGAAAAACUGAGGCUGUGAUGAUUUGUACUCUGUUUUUUUUUUCUCUGAGCAAAUUGAUAGUGCAGGAGAGCAUUCGGACCCGUAUCUUGGCGGGGCAACCCGGAUAGAAGGUGACCUAGAAACCGGUGGUCGGUGGUUGCAGCCAUGGCGGUGAUUUGAGGCUCUCUUUGCUGUAUUGUGAGUAUUAAAGAUCUGAGCUUUAUUGAUUUUUCUUAAAUGCAGCUUGAAAUUUCCCAUGAAAGGAAAUAAAGCUAAGUCCAGAAAAGUUAAAGGUCAUAGACGGAAAUGAGGGUUGCGGAGAGUAGAGGGAAAGUUCAAAGGGCUGUUGCUCCUCUCUGCAAUACCUGUGAUUUCAUUUUUGUUGUGAAAAAAAUAAUCUUUAAUAGCCCUUCUGCAGUUAAACAGCAAUAUGCUUGUUCUCUCCAAUUUCUCAACUUUAAAGGGAUAAUCAGUAGUAGUAGUAAUGGUUGUUGCGAAAAUUAUGAGGCUAUGAUGAUGAUAUUUUUCUUUCUCUGAGCAAAUCAAUAGUACAGGAAAGAAAUGGACUCAUAUCUUGGCGGGGCUACCUGGAUGGCAGGUUACCUUGCAACCGGUGCUUGCAGCCCUGGCGGUGAUUCCAGUCUCUCUUGCCAUGUUGUAAGUAUUACAAAUCUGAGCCUCAAUGUUUCAUUUGUACAGUAUUGGAAACAAUCUAGUUAACUCUACAAGGUAGGAGUGAGAUAACGCUGGGUUGUUGUUAUUGCAGCUGUGAAAUUCGCAGGUCGAAAAACACAUGACUAUUUCUCUUUUAAAGGAAAAAAAGCUUAGCUCAGAGACGAAUAAUGAGGGUUGCAGAGAGUAGAGAGGAACCCUUCAAAGGGCUGUUGCUCCUCUCUGCAAUACCUGUGAUUACCAUUUUCACUGUGAAAAUAAAUAUUAAUUCAACAGCUCUUUUCAGUUAAAACAAUUACCAAACAAACCCUUAAUCUUUGCUUGUUCUCUCGAAAUUCUCAACCCCAACCCCAAAUAGAGAAUCAAUAGUGGUAGUAAUAAUAAUAAUAAUUGUUGCAAAAAUUUCCGAGGCUAUGAUGAUGAUUUUCUUCUUCCUCUGAGCAAAUAAAUAGUGCAGGAAAGAGAUUGUGUACCUGUAUCUUGGUGUGGCAACCCGGAUGAGAGGUUACCCUGCAACCGAUGCUUGCAGAGCUGGCGAUGAUUCCAGUGUAUCUUGCCGUAUCGCAAGUAUUACAAAUCUGAGCCUCAAUGUUUGGAUUUGCUUAGGGUCUACUGAAAAUCGCCUCUUGACCUCCACAAGGUAGAGGUCAAAUUAUACUGGGUUGUUGUUGUUGCAGUUGGGAAAUUCGCAGGUCUAUUUUGAUUUCCCAUAAAAAGCAAAAAGCUUAGCGUCGAAAGUAAAAGUUCAGAGACUAAGAAUGAGGGUUGCAGAGAGCAGAGGGGAAGUUCAAAUGGCUGUUGCUCCUCUCUGCAAUAACUGUGAUUUUGAUUUCAGUGUUGCUGUGUUGCAGUUAAACAGAGACCAAAUGACGCUUAAGUCUUUGCUUGUUCUCUCCAAAUUCUCACACCCAGUUAUAAUAAUAAUUGUUUAAACAAUUCUGAAGCCGUGAUGAAGAUUGUCUUCUUCCUUUGAGCAAAUCAAUAGUGCGGGAGAGCAAUUGGAUCCGUAUCUUAGCGGGACAACCCGGAGAUCUUAAACUUAAGAUAUGUAGAAUGUUCCUAAAUGCCUUUUAAUAUUGUGGUUUUAAAGGUGUCACGUGGAAAGUUAGAAGUCAAAGUGUUGCCAAAAAAGAUAAGAGACAUUCUAAAGGGAAGACAAAGAUCUGAGCCUCACUUUCUCCAUCGGUUUAGUUAAAUGAACAAAGCAAAAGCUUCGAAGGGAAAGAAUGAGGCUACAGAGAGUUUAGGGAUUUUUCAUUGAAAGGGUGGUUGCCUCUCUCUGCAUCAGGCAAUGAUUUCUCCAUUACUGUAAGAACGCCAAGUCCCCAACAACCCUUUUAUCGAUUUUAAUGGAGUAAUAUUAACAAUUUGUUUGGAUUGUUGUUUACAUAUUAUUACAAAUGGUUUCUAUAUACCCUUUCAUGCUAUGCCAUCUCUUUUCUCUAAUGCUUCUGCCGGAGCAUUGAAUGCUGGUGUUGGAAGCUGUGUGGUUGAGGAUAACCCGUGGCUUGAAAGAGGCAAUGAUGAUUUUGUCAAUUUUUAAUAUCCUUCUGAGCUGAUUAAUCAGGCAUUUGAGACCAUCCGGCCUGUAUCUUGGCGGGGCAUGCUCCCAGACUUUCUGGUGGUUGUUGCAGCCAUGAUGUUGUUGGACUCUCUUGUUGCCCGAGCUUAACACUGAUCUGAGCCUCACUUUGUCUUAUCAAUUGGGAAACUAUUAUUAGGGCUUAUCAUGGUGUGGUAACUUUCUCUUUUUUAAAAAGGGAAAAGGAUCAAAUAUGUCAUUGAACUUUGAGAAAAGACUCAUUUGUGCCAUCCAUUAAAAGUUUGGCUCAUCUCUGCCAUUUCCGUUUACGAAAAGGCUCAUCCAUGCCAUUCUAUGUUAAUUGAAAAAAGUUUUGCUUUUGCAAAACCAUUUAUUACACGUGGUCAAUUAGGAUUCAGCCAUAUCAUUUAUUAAAUCAUUUUUUAAUAGGAGAAGACUCAAAUAUGCCACCAAUGACCAAACUUUGAGAAAAAGGGUCAUUUAGGCCAUUUCCUGAAAGAGGCAGUGCUGAUACUUGUUAAUUGGGCCAUUUACGACAAUUUUCUAAGACCGCUAUUUUAAAUUUUUCCUCAUUUCCAUCCAGGCAUUGAGGCAUCCCGUCCGUAUCUUGGCUUGGCAAACACCGGAAUGGUCUGUGAAUGGAGGUUUCUCUUUCACAUGCAAUCGGUUCUAUUGCAGCCAUGGCUUGGUCGUCUUCUCUUUGCCUCAUCAGAAACUGAGAUCUGAGCCUCAUUUUCUAAAUUUCCUUUUGACGACCCGCUGACCUGGGAAUCGAACACGCAACCUUCUUUAAUGGAAACUCAUUUUGCCUCGUUUCAAAGAGAAGUUGGAUUUUCCCUUCUCUUGAUGUGUUGAGUCUGUGGAAUUCUUUUCACAGGAGAUAACAACAUCAUUUUAAUGCAACCAUCGAUUGGGUUUUCAAUUGAAGGUUGUUCUCUGGAUUUGGGGUUCUUCAGUUUUAUGUGUUAGACUGACGUGAUAACCAACUACAACUUUAUUUCUGCUCAAUGGAUGAGGCUUUGGGGGAUCAGAUGAUUCUCAGAGUGGAUAAGCAUCUUCGACAUGCAGGCAUGGCAGGUUUCCAGGAAUUCCAGUGCUCCAGAUACAAGUCUGAGCCUCCAGUUGAGAGCAAAGCAUUAACAUAGUAAUAGUAGUACUUGGGCCCUCUGUCUGAUUUAUGAGCUUAAUUCAAAUUGUCCUAAUAUCUUGAAAAUUGUGCAACCAUUUUCUCGAAGUGGCAGUGAUAAUAUUUGCUUAUCUGAGCUUUGGGAAUAAAGACAAUCAGACCCGUAUCUUGCCUUGGCAAACCCCAGUUGCUAUGUGAUUUAAGGCCUCUCUUUCACAUGCAACCAGUACUUUUGCAGCUGCGGCGUGCUCUCUUUCUCUGCUCCCUUUAAUAGGUCAGAUCUGAGCCACAAAUUUGCAAGUAGUUCUAGACAUUUGUUUGGUGGAAACCAAAUCCAUUUCACUUAUUUUAAAAGCCAGCUCAAUGAGGCAUCAUGAGAAACACAAACUUUUUAUUUAUUAUUCAUUCAUUCAGUGUUGGUAGUAAGCCCACGUUUUUUUGCUUCUGCAUGGCUGCAUGAACACCUAAACAGCGAGAAUCAUACUAGAAAAAGGUGAAAUUGAGGCAGUGAUGAUAUUGUUCUUGGCAAACAAAAGCUAAGUUGAGCAUAGCCUAGAAAGGAAAAAGAAUGAGGCAUCUGAGAAAUUGGGACUUUCUGAAAGGGUGGUUGCCCCUCUCUGCUAUGCCAGUGAAUUCUCCGUUAAUGGACCAUAAAAACCAACAGCCCUUCGAAAUAAACAAGAAAAAACAAAAAACCUUCAUACCAAACACAACCGUAUACUCUUCUUGCUCUUCCUCUUUCUUCUCUCUUUGUGCUGCUAAUGUUGUAAAGGGGCUAUGAUGAUUGUUACUUCUUUUCUGGGUUAUAUUCAAUCAUGGCAAUUGAGAAAAUAUCCUACCCGUAUCUUGGCAUGGCGACCUGGUUAGGCUUUGAAGAGCAAACUGGUGUCUGCAGCCAUGGCGGCGUCACUCUUCUCUUGUUCAAGUACAGCAAAUCUGAGCCCUCAAUAACCCAUUACUACAACAACAUAUCCAGAAGUGGUGUGGGGAAAGAUGGUGUCUGUGCAGCCUUUACCCCAACCCAUUCGGUUCGGAAAAUCCAUUACGGAUUUCCAAUGAAAUUUCAACUCUGAAGAAUGAGGCGUCAGAGAAUGGGAUUUUCUGUAAAGGGUGGUUGCCCAUCUCUGCGUUGCCAGUGAUUUUCCCAUUAAUGGACCAAAAAAACCCAACAGCCCUUUGAAUUAAACAACAACAACAAUAAAAACUUUAUACCAAACACACCCUAUACUACUCUUCCUCUUUCUCCUCUCUUUGUGCUGAUAAUGUUUUGAAGGGGCUAUGAUGAUUGAUUCCUUCCUUUCCGGGCUAUGUUCAAUCAUGGAAAUUGAGAAAACAUCCGACCUGCAUCUUGGCAGGGCAACCUGGUUAGGGCUUUGAAUAGAUAACUGGUGUCUGCAGCCAUGGUGGUGUCGCUCUUCUCUUUUGCUUUGUCCAGAUACAGCAAAUCUGAGCCCUCAAUAACCCAUUCGGGUAGGAUAAUCAUUUUUUGGUUUGCUUUGAAAUUGCAACUUUGAAGAAUGAGGCGUUGGAGAAAUUGGGAUUUUCUGUGAAGGGUGGUUGCCAAUCUCUGCUGUGGCCAGUGACUUCUCCAUUAAUGGACCAAAAAACCCAACAACCCUUUCUCAAAUAAACAAAAAGAAAGCAAAUUGAAAAACUUCAUCCAAAUUCCAAACACCCCCUCUAUAUUCUUCUUGCUCUUCCUCUGUCUCGUUGUGCUUCUGCUGUUACUAUUGCUUAAAUUGGCUGUGAUGAUUGCUUGCUUCCUUCUGGGCUAUGUUCAAUCAUGGCAUUUAGAGAAGAUCGGACCCGUAUCUUGGCAGGGAGAUCUAGUUUGGUUUUGAAUAGCAAACUGGUGUCUGCAGCCAUGGCGAUGGCGCUCUUCUCUUUUGCUUUGUUCAAAUCUGAGCCUUCACUAACCCAUUCGGGUUGGAGAACCCAUUACGGGUUUGCGUUUAAAUUUCAGCUCCAGCUCUGAAGAAUGAGCCAUUGGAGAAACUUGGAUUUUCUGUCAAAGGGUGGUUGCCCAUCUCUGCUUUGCCAGUGAUGUCACCAUUGAUUACCAUAAAACCACUAGCCCCCCUUAAAAUAAACAAGAAAGAAAAAAGAAAAACAAAUUGCAAACUUCAUCCAAAGACAUUCUAUACUGUUUCACCGUCUCUUUGUGCUGCUGUUGCUAAUGAUGUUGUAUAGGGGUUGUGAUGAUUGCUUGCUUCAUGUCUGGUCUUUCUUCAAUCAUGGCAUUGCUCAAAGUUUCAUUACAAAUAUGUUGUCAAAAUAUUUAAUAUAUCUAAUAGAUCUUUCAUUAAAAAUAUUUACAGCACUAAUUGCAGCAGUAUUAUAUAGUUCGUGCUUAAUUCUACCGUAGGUUGCCGACGUGGCGAUGUGGUGACUGGCAAGUGUAAUUGCAGUAAAUUCACUAGAGAAUCAUACUAGAAAAUUGAGGCAGGAUGAUAUGGUUCUUUGUAGCCCAGUUGCCAGUUUAGGGCAGCAAGAGAUGGUUCAGUAGACGUCAGGGCGACCCAGUUACGGCUUUGAAUAGCAAACUGGUGUCUGCAUCCAUGGCGGCAUCACUUCUCUCUUUUGCUUUGUUCAGAUAUUGCAAUUCUGAGCCCUCAAAUGAAAUUUCAGCUUUGAAGAAUGAAGCAUCAGAGAAAUUGGGAUUUUCUGUAAAAGGGUGGUUGCCCGUCUCUGCUUUGCCAGUGAUUUUUCCAUUGAUAACCAAAAAAUAACAGCCCUUUUAAAUAAACAAAAGGGAAAAAGAUGUCAUCCAAACACACCUCUGUACUCUUGUUGUUCUUCCUCUCGUCUUCUUGUGUUGCUGUUGCUGCUGCUGGUGUUGUAAAGGGGGCUAUGAUGAUUGCUUACUUUCCUUUUUGGGCUAUGAAGCUGUGUUCAAUUAUAGCAUUGAGAAAAACCUGCAUCUUAGCUGGGCGACCCGGUUAUGGCUUUGAAUAGCAAACUGGUGUCUGCAUCCAUGGCUGUGGCGUUCUUCUCUUUUCUUUGUUAAGAAAUACAACAAAUCUGAGCCCUGAAUAACCCAUUUUAUGAUCUUCCAUGGUGAGUCUAUUCCCUGGUUGGAAAACCUAUUGCGUGUGUUGAAAUUUCGGCUCUGAAUUCAGAAUUAGGGAGAAAAUGACAAAUCUCUUUAUGUUUGAGGGUAUGUCCAAAAUAGUCCCUUAAAUAUGCACUUAACAAUUUUGGUCCUUGAAGUUUUCCAAAAGUUAACACCUAACCAAUUUGCGCAUUGAGAUUAUCCAAUCUGUAUCUUGGUGUGGUGACCCGGUAUGGCUUGUGAUUGCUGCUUCUGUCUCUUGCAUGCAACCGGUGAUUGGCUAAUGUUUCGCUUUUGUCAUAACAUACAUCUGAGUCCCAUUUGCU